rnacentral:tRNA from 1 species
GCGCCUGUAGCUCAACAGGAUAGAGCAACUGCCUUCUAAGCAGUGGGUUGGCUGUUCGAUUCAGCCCAGGCGCACCA